rnacentral:snRNA from 1 species
AUCUUUGCGCUUGGGGCAAUGACCUAACUAAUGAGGUUCUAACCGAGACUUGUCUAUUGCUGGUUGAAAACUAUUUUCAAAUCCUCUCUUCGGCUUGAGCUUGAGAAUUUCUGGAAGGCUCCCUUUGGGG